rnacentral:rRNA from 1 species
UGGGGAAUAUUGCACAAUGGGCGGAAGCCUGAUGCAGCAACGCCGCGUGCGGGAUGACGGCCUUCGGGUUGUAAACCGCUUUCGCCUGUGACGAAGCGUGAGUGACGGUAAUGGGUAAAGAAGCACCGGCUAACUACGU